rnacentral:rRNA from 1 species
UACGUAGGGUGCAGGCGUUAAUCGGAAUUACUGGGCGUAAAGCGUGCGCAGGCGGUUUGCUAAGACAGGUGCGAAAUCCCCGGGCUUAACCUGGGAACUGCGCUUGUAACUGGCAAGCUAGAGUGUGGCAGAGGGGGGUGGAAUUCCACGUGUAGCAGUGAAAUGCGUAGAGAUGUGGAGGAACACCGAUGGCGAAGGCAGCCCCCUGGGCUAACACUGACGCUCAUGCACGAAAGCGUGGGGAGCAAACAGG